GGUUGUCCCGAAAGUUUCUUUCGCGAGUUGCACUGAAUUAUUUGAUGUGGUCGUGUUUAUAUAGAUAGACAAUCUAAUUUCAUAGAUAUUCAUGUUGUAACAGUAAUGGAGCAAAAUGAAUCGUGUACAAUUCAGUAAUGUAGCAUAAAACAUAUAAUAUUGUGCAUGUAUUACUUAUUAAUAAAGCGAAAGAAACUUUCGGGACAACCUAAUAUAUGGAAGUGAGACAAUGUUGUUCCUGUUUGUUGUUUACAUUUUGUAACGAAAUGUUAAUCUGAAUCGAAGUUAAACUAAAAUUUAGGAGACGUGAACGAGAGAAAACCAAUAUAAUAUAAUUAAUUAGGCGUAGAAAUUAUUCCUCUGGCUUCAUAUUCAAUCUAUUAUAAGUUUAGUUUAAACCGAAAUAAUUACCAACAUUCUAGGUUCUUGACCUGGGACUCUGUUAUAAUGAAUCUGUACAUAUCGUUACAAUCUACAUAUAUGUAUGUACGAAGUUUGAUAGCCAUGCGUUUUUGCUUAUUGUUAUUAUUCUCACAGAUUACACAAGUGUGCUUGGUAAUUACAGUAAUUGAAAAAGAGUAACAACAAGCAAAAUUCGAAGGCUACUAAAAGUUUGUAUGGAUGCAUUGCAGCAGUGACCAUCAGGUUGAGACUUAGGUUAUGUGAAUAGAUACAUUGUAAUAGAGUUGAAACUGAGGACUCGGAAGGCUUAGAAUGAGCAAAUAAGUAUAUCUACUUUAGCGACGAUUAAGUUUAAACUAGAGUUAUAAAUUAUUAAAUACAGAGGCACAGAAUUAAUUUCUACGCCUAAUACAUAAAAAAAAAAAAAACGAACACGACAGAUGGCGCCAUUAACCAAUGUGGCUGAGAGCGUUAUGUAUCUUCGAAUAAGCCUUUGAAUAGUCUAAAUAUUCCAAUACUCAUGGAUUCAGCUGAAAUGCUCUAAUAUAAAAUAAAUUCGACAAUUAGUCCCUGCCACGUAAAUUGAGAAGGACAUACCUAAAAUGUCGAUUCAUUAUGCUUUUAUUUGACUUUUUCGUGCUCCAUCUCCUCGAUAGAGGGAGCAACUAGUCGCACUAGUGGUCCUGCGACGUAGAACGACGCCCAUCGACAAAGGCCUCUGGAUGCAGGCAUUGUCUCAAAGGCGCCUGUCCGUCUACGACGAAUCUCGGUGCGGUGCCUGACGUCACGCAGGACAUGGAAGACCACCAUGCUUCGAACUUUUUUUAAAAAUCAAAUUUUGUAAAAGUUGCUUCCCCUUGAGUCUCCCGCAAUAAAAACAGUUUUGUGGAA